AGCAGCCGCGGUAAUUCCAGCUCCAAUAGCGUAUAUUAAAGUUGUUGCAGUUAAAAAGCUCGUAGUUGAAUUUUGGAUUCUGCCAAUUGGUCCAUCUUUUAGAUGAGUACUGGUUGUGUGGGGUCUAUCCGCCUGGUGAUACGUAAUGUCCUUUAUUGGAUGUUGCGGGUAGUCAGGACCUUUACCUUGAAAAAAUUAGAGUGUUUAAAGCAGGCUUAUGCCGGAAUACAUUAGCAUGGAAUAAUAGAAUAGGACGAAGUUGUUUUAUUUUGUUGGUUUCUAGGACAACCGUAAUGAUUAAUAGGGAUAGUUGGGGGCAUUAGUAUUCAAUUGUCAGAGGUGAAAUUCUUGGAUUUAUUGAAGACUAACUACUGCGAAAGCAUUUGCCAAGGAUGUUUUCAUUAAUCAAGAACGAAAGUUAGGGGAUCGAAGACGAUCAGAUACCGUCGUAGUCUUAACCAUAAACUAUGCCGACUAGGGAUCGGGCGAUGUUGUUUCCAUGACUCG
rnacentral:rRNA from 1 species